CAGUAGCCGCGGUAAUACGAAGGGGGCUAGCGUUGUUCGGAUUUACUGGGCGUAAAGGGCGCGUAGGCGGUUGUGUAAGACAGGUGUGAAAUCCCCGGGCUUAACCUGGGAACUGCGCUUGUGACUGCACAGCUAGAGUAUGGCAGAGGGGGGUGGAAUUCCACGUGUAGCAGUGAAAUGCGUAGAGAUGUGGAGGAACACCGAUGGCGAAGGCAGCCCCCUGGGCCAAUACUGACGCUCAUGCACGAAAGCGUGGGGAGCAAACAGGAUUAGAUACCCGGGUAGUCCCUGUCUCUUAUAC
rnacentral:rRNA from 1 species